CUGUUCCGCCCCCCCCCCCAACUUUUCUCCCGGGCCGACGGAGCUGAAGGGGCGGGGGUUUCUUCCUUGGAGUGUUUCUAGAGCUCGGAGGCUGCUAGUAGGGGGGCACCACUUUAAGAUAAAAACAUAGACCUGAAUGGCAUCAUCCAGUAUCCAAGGAAACCAUUGUGUCUGUAACCAGCUAAUGAGCUGCAACAGAGCCUGGCCUUCAUUUUCAGCAAAUUAAGUUCAUCCCUCAUAGGAAUUGUGGUCUGGCUGUGGCACCGCUCCUAGACAUGACAAACUCCAAAAGGAAACCCAAGCAGCUAUUUGGCUCCCUUAAUUAAUGAAGUCACCCAGUAUGGAUAAUUCAGGUUCUCUAAACAUGAGUAUGCCUUUGGGGGAA
rnacentral:antisense_RNA from 1 species